UCCUCCAAUUUAGCUCAGGUGGUUAGAGCGUCCAACUGGCACCUGGAAGGUCAUAGGGUUUCGAUUCCCGCUGGGGAG